AUUGAACGCUGGCGGCAUGCCUUACACAUGCGAGUCGAACGGCAGCACGGGAGCAAUCCUGGUGGCGAGUGGCGAACGGGUGAGUAAUAUAUCGGAACGUGCCCAGUCGUGGGGGAUAACGUAGCGAAAGCUACGCUAAUACCGCAUACGAUCUAUGGAUGAAAGCGGGGGAUCGCAAGACCUCGCGCGAUUGGAGCGGCCGAUAUCAGAUUAGGUAGUUGGUGAGGUAAAGGCUCACCAAGCCGACGAUCUGUAGCUGGUCUGAGAGGACGACCAGCCACACUGGGACUGAGACACGGCCCAGACUCCUACGGGAGGCAGCAGUGGGGAAUUUUGGACAAUGGGCGCAAGCCUGAUCCAGCAAUGCCGCGUGCAGGAUGAAGGCCUUCGGGUUGUAAACUGCUUUUGUACGGAGCGAAACGGCUUCCACUAAUACUGGGGGCUAAUGACGGUACCGUAAGAAUAAGCACCGGCUAACUACGUGCCAGCCGCCGCAGUAACAC
rnacentral:rRNA from 1 species